rnacentral:rRNA from 1 species
UAGAGUUUGAUCAUGGCUCAGAACGAACGCUGGCGGCGCGUUUUAAGCAUGCAAGUCGGACGGUAGUACAGAGCUUGCUCUGUAUGAGAGUGGCGAACGGGUGAGUAACACGUAGGUGAUCUACCGUAAAGUUGGGGAUAGCCUGUGGAAACACAGGGUAAUACCGGAUAAUCCUUAUUGUUUACGGACGGUAAGGGAAAGGGGCUACGGCCCUGCUUUUCGAAGAGCCUGCGUUCCAUUAGUUAGUUGGCAGGGUAACGGCCUACCAAGGCGACGAUGGAUAGCCGGCCUGAGAGGGUGACCGGCCACACUGGGACUGAGACACGGCCCAGACUCCUACGGGAGGCAGCAGCUAAGAAUCUUCCGCAAUGGGCGAAAGCCUGACGGAGCGACGCCGCGUGGACGAAGAAGGCCGGAAGGUUGUAAAGUCCUUUUCUCGAUGAAGAAUAAGGCAGUGAGGGAAUGCGCUGUCGAUGACAUUAGUUGAGGAAUAAGCCCCGGCUAAUUACGUGCCAGCAGCCGCGGUAACACGUAAGGGGCGAGCGUUGUUCGGAAUUAUUGGGCGUAAAGGGCGUGUAGGCGGCACGAUAAGCCUGGUGUGAAAGGCCGCAGCUCAACUGCGGGAUAGCGCUGGGAACUGUUGUGCUUGAGUUACGGAGGGGGAGCUGGAAUUCCUGGUGUAGGGGUGAAAUCUGUAGAUAUCAGGAAGAACAUCGGUGGCGAAGGCGAGCUCCUGGCCGAUAACUGACGCUGAGGCGCGAAAGUGUGGGGAGCGAACAGGAUUAGAUACCCUGGUAGUCCACACUGUAAACGAUGUGCACUNNGUGUUGGUCCGAGAAGGAUCAGUGCCUGAGCUAACGCGAUAAGUGCACCGCCUGGGGAGUAUGCCUGCAAGGUGAACUCAAAGGAAUUGACGGGGCCCGCACNAGUGGUGGAGC